rnacentral:rRNA from 1 species
GACGAACGCUGGCGGCGUGCUUAACACAUGCAAGUCGAACGGAAAGGCCCUUUUGGUGGUGGUCGCUUGGCGGACGAGUGGGUAACUAGUAGGUGAUUUGCCUUGCCCUCAGGGUUAAGUCUCGGCAACUAACUCUAACACAUGCUGGGACCGCACUCCAGCGUCAGUGGUGGAGUGUUGUCUUGGUGUCGGAUGGGGCUGCGGUCUCUCCGCUUCAUGGUGGGGUAAUGGCCUUCCAAGGCGGAGGCGGGUACCCGGACUGGGCGGGUGGUCGGGCACAUUGGGGCUGAGAUACGGGCCAGACUCCUACGGGAGGGAGCAGUUGGGAAAAUUGCACAAUGGGGGCGAGCCUGAUUCAGCGACGGCGGGGUGGGGAUGACGGCCUUCGGGUUGUUAACUCGUUUCGCCAUGGACGAAGCGGUUAGUGACGGUACCGGGAGAAGAAGCACCGGCUAACUACGUG